rnacentral:rRNA from 1 species
GACGAACGCUGGCGGCGUGCUUAACACAUGCAAGUCGAACGGAAAGGCCCUGCUUUUGUGGGGUGCUCGAGUGGCGAACGGGUGAGUAACACGUGAGUAACCUGCCCUUGACUUUGGGAUAACUUCAGGAAACUGGGGCUAAUACCGGAUAUGAGCUCCUGCUGCAUGGUGGGGGUUGGAAAGUUUCGGCGGUUGGGGAUGGACUCGCGGCUUAUCAGCUUGUUGGUGGGGUAGUGGCUUACCAAGGCUUUGACGGGUAGCCGGACUGAGAGGGUGACCGGCCACAUUGGGACUGAGGUAGGGCCCAGACUCCUACGGGAGGCAGCAGUGGGGAAUAUUGCACAAUGGGCGGAAGCAUGAUGCAGCAACGCCGGGUGGGGGAUGACGGCCUUCGGGUUGUAAACCGCUUUCGCCUGUGACGAAGCGUGAGUGACGGUAAUGGGUAAAGAAGCACCGGCUAACUACGUG